CUUGAACGCUGGCGGCAGGCCUAACACAUGCAAGUCGAACGAGUGGCGGACGGGUGAGUAAUGUCUGGGAAACUGCCCGAUGGAGGGGGAUAACUACUGGAAACGGUAUCUAAUACCGCAUACCAUCGGAUGUGCCCAGAUGGGAUUAGCUUGUAGGUGGGGUAACGGCUCACCUGGUCGACGAUCCCUAGCUGGUCUGAGCGGAUGACCAGCCACACGGGAACUGAGACACGGUCCAGACUCCUACGGUAGGCAGCAGUGGGGAAUAUUGCACAAUGGGCGAAAGCCUGAUGCAGCCAUGCCGCGUGUAUGAAGAAGGCCUUCGGGUUGUAAAGUACUUUCAGCGAGGAGGCGUUACUCGCAGAAGAAGCACCGGCUAACUCCGUGCCAGCAGCCGCGGUAAUAC
rnacentral:rRNA from 1 species